UAGGGAAUCUUCCGCAAUGGACGCAAGUCUGACGGAGCAACGCCGCGUGAGUGAAGAAGGUUUUCGGAUCGUAAAGCUCUGUUGUUAAGGAAGAACGAGUGUGAGAAUGGAAAGUUCAUGCUGUGACGGUACUUAACCAGAAAGGGACGGCAAACCACGUGCCAGUAGCCGCGGUAAUACGUAGGUCCCGAGCGUUGUUCGGAUUUAUUGGGCGUAAAGCGAGCGCAGGCGGUUAGAAAAGUCUGAAGUUAAAGGCAGUGGCUCAACCAUUGUAGGCUUUGGAAACUGUUUAACUUGAGUGCAGAAGGGGAGAGUGGAAUUCCAUGUCUAGCGGUGAAAUGCGUAGAUAUAUGGAGGAACACCGGUAGCGAAAUCGGCUCUCUGGUCUGUAACUGACGCUGUGGCUCGAAAGCGUGGGGAGCGAACAGG
rnacentral:rRNA from 1 species